rnacentral:rRNA from 1 species
GAUGAACGCUAGCUACAGGCUUAACACAUGCAAGUCGGGGGGUAACGAGAGGAAAGCUUGCUUUCCUUGUCGACGACCGGCGCACGGGUGAGUAACGCGUAUCCAACCUGCCCCCAACUAAGGAAUAACCUUGCGAAAGUAAGACUAAUACCUUAUAAUUUCCUCAGAUGUCAUCUGCCGAGGAAUAAAGAUUUAUCGGUUGUGGAUGGGGAUGCGUCUGAUUAGCCUGUGGGCGGGGUAACGGCCCACCAAGGCAACGAUCAGGAGGGGUUCUGAGAGGAAGGUCCCCCACAUUGGAACUGAGACACGGUCCAAACUCCUACGGGAGGCAGCAGUGAGGAAUAUUGGUCAAUGGGCGAAAGCCUGAACCAGCCAAGUAGCGUGCAGGAUGACGGCCCUAUGGGUUGUAAACUGCUUUUAUACAGGAAUAAAGUUAGCCACGUGUGGUUAUUUGUAGGUACUGUAUGAAUAAGGACCGGCUAAUUCCGUGCCAGCCGCCGCAGUAA